UACGUAGGUGGCAAGCGUUGUCCGGAUUUACUGGGCGUAAAGAGCGCGCAGGCGGUCGGCCAAGUCGAGUGUGAAAGCCCCCGGCUCAACUGGGGAGGGUCAUUCGAUACUGGUCGACUCGAAGGCAGGAGAGGGAAGCGGAAUUCCCGGUGUAGUGGUGAAAUGCGUAGAUAUCGGGAGGAACACCAGUGGCGAAGGCGGCUUCCUGGCCCAACAUUGACACUGAGGCCCAAAAGCGUGGGGAUCAAACAGG
rnacentral:rRNA from 1 species